rnacentral:piRNA from 2 species
AGCUUGACUCUAGUCUGGCACGGUGAAGAG